GGGGGCGAAAUAGGAUCGACGUGCCUAAUAAAAAAAUUGCUUUUACUCGGGAUGAUUCCGCCGCAGGCUUUUGCCUUACGGGUCAAAACAAAGAAACGCAAACGAUAACUAUCGUUCCGCAGGUACUCCAGCUUUAGCUGUAGCAUAAACCUGCACGGCUUGGGGGUUUGCCGGGUAACAGAAAAACCCUCAAA
rnacentral:tmRNA from 2 species